rnacentral:lncRNA from 1 species
AAAAUGUUUUAAGACAACAUGCAUGGUCGCCCUGGGAUUGCGGCGCGACACAAGCAAAACAAACUUCAUCUGCUGAGCUGCACCAAGCUGGGAAUUACUUCGUAAUAAUGGCCUUAGAACUUUUCUGUGGCAUUGUUAAUCUCCUACAAGAACUUGACUAUGAGGAAAUAGAAGAAAUUCGGCGCUUGAGAUUACCACGUACAGUACUACGGGAUCGCAGUGACCCAAUGGUAUACCUCACGGAAGAGGAAUUCAUCCAAAGGUAUCGACUAUCAAAGGAUUAGUGAUGUGACAUCAAGCAGAAACUAAAACUAGUGUCUUCACAGCUACAGCAACGUGCACUGAGAAAUUUCAGAAAUAUGAUAUCAGAACUGGAAAAUGAAGGUAAACAAUGUGAUCAGUUUAACAGUGGUCGCUAUACUGAACAGGUACAAUACCUCGCCUCAGAUUUUGACGGGUUUUCAAGAUAGAGCAGCAAUGGAACCUGUUGCAACAUAUAUGUAUCAUACACAGUCUUACCCUUCCUACCCAUAUUCUUACCUAAUACUUAUAGGGAGAACUCUACCAGUUUGUGCUAUUUCACAAUAGUUUAUGAUCUUUUAUUGAUAAACUUUCCAUCUCUGUUCUUUCAAUGUAUAUUUGUGUGUAUAAUUUCUAAGUGGAAGAUGACAUAUACAGAGAAAUGUACACCUCAAUGGGCAAUGUAAUGUUUUUAUGUUUGGUUGUGUUGUGGAGAUACAAUUAAAAUGUACAAGUAUAAAAUAAAAUAACAAUACUACACUUCAAGUUA